CCCUUAGAUGUCCGGGGCCGCACGCGCGCUACACUGAAGGAAUCAGCGUGGCUUUCUCCCUGACCCGAAAGGGUUGGGAAACCCGUUGAAUCUCCUUCGUGAUAGGGAUUGGGGCUUGAAAUUGUUCCCCAUGAACGAGGAAUUCCCAGUAAGCGCGAGUCAUAAGCUCGCGUUGAUUAUGUCCCUGCCCUUUGUACACACCGCCCGUCGCUACUACUGAUUGGGUGUUCAAGUGAGAUGCUUAGACCCUUGUUGCAUGGUUCAUUAUUGUGCUCCGAAAGGAAAAAGUUUCAAGCUUGAGUGUCUAGAGGAAGUAAAAGUCGUAACA
rnacentral:rRNA from 1 species